AGUGGUAGAGUAACAUCCCCUCGAUCCCGGUCAUCUUCAGAAUGAUGACGUCUCCCUGGGGUCCCAGGGGAAUGGGACGGUUUUCACACCAUUGGGAAGGCGGAUGUGAGCAGGGGCCUCGCCUGACGGCUGUGGAAGCUGCAGGUGUGUGUGCCCGAUGCCCUCGGAGCCCUUGGCAACUCUGCCAGGCAGGAUUUACCGGGCCCACUUUGUGGAUGGCAGUCACUGAGGCCCAGUGAAGUGACCUGCCCUAUGGGGCAGAGCCAGUGCAGGACGCUGCCUGACCCUGCCACCAGCCCCAGUCCUAACCCUCGCCUGCCUGCUGAGGACCAGGUCAGGUGAGGGGAGAUCUGAGUCGCCUGCUUUGGGAAGGGCCAGAUGAGCGUCUGCCACUGGCCCUCACAGCCUGGACGCACCAGGAGAUGCGUUUAGACCUGGACUGCAGCCCACGGAACAGGGCUCCCAGCCCCGACUCCGUCUCCGCAGAUCCCUCUGCGUUUCUGAACCUGUUUGCUCUUGUGUGGAGCAGCUGGGUAGAUGCAGUGACUCCAAAGGGUGGCAGCCUCUCAUUGGGGAGCAUGAGCUGCUCCUGGGUGGUGAAUAGGUAUGCGCUAUGUGUGCCGUCACCUUCUGGUUAUUGCUAGUGGGACUGGCUUUCCAAUCAGGGUAGUGAUUUAAUUUUAUAAUAAAUAUGCUGAAACCCUGCAAGAGUGUAGAUCUAGAAAGAGGUUCAAACACCUACCAGUGGUUGUGGCAGAACCCCAGCCACAGCUGCGAAGGUUUAUGGAAUGCUUCCUGUGGGCGGGGCGGGGUUCUAAGUGCUUCCUAUUCUUUAGCUCAGUGGGGUUGGUUUUGUUACGAGCCCCACAUUACAACUGAGUUAACUGCAGUAUCUUGCCCAGGCUGCAGGACUAGUAAGUGGAAGGGUCACAAUUUGAACCCAGACCCCUGAAUCCGGAGUCUGCAUUGCUAAGUUCUUAGGCUUGUGGCAUUGGGUUACCCUGCAGGGAACUAACCAAUUCUGACUCACCCGAGAUGUUCUUGGCUGAAAGUCCUGUGUGAAGGACACUCCCAAGCCCCAGGCAGACUGGGACAGUGAUGACUCUGCUUGUAUCUUAAGUCUUUUCCAAUAGCUUUGGAGUCUGCAUUACUGUAAAUGCCGGGGAACACGGGCCAAGUGUAUGUAAACCCAAACACGCCAGAUCUGCAGGGAUUGUGAGUAAAUACACACAUCUCCCAACCACACACAUAACAUCCAGAAACUCUUGCUUAAAAAUAACAGAGUAAGUGCCCGAUUGCUGUCUAUGUAACCAACAGUGACACUUGCCACUCCACAUAAAUAACAGAGGGAAAAUGUCCCACAUCUCUAUCUAUAGCAGAAUAAACUGUCCUGUGUAGAAAUUCUACAUCCUGGCACGCUGGCUGAUGUCAUGUAGAACAAAGAGACCCUGUCACCACAUGUGAACUAACAGUGAUGCCAAUAAUAGUAACAGCGGUAUUGGGGGCUGUCCUGUUUGUACCCACCUAGUUCCCACGUGGUGCUCAGCACUGUGUGUGCAUUAUGGUAACCAAUUCCCGUGUGGUACUUGAGGGCUAAUGUUAUAUUGCCAUCCCGUUUUACAGAUGAGGAAACGGGUGCAGGAAAGUUCUAGAAAUUGCCAGAGUUGCACUGCUCGGAAGCUCGGAAGCGAGAUUUCUAACCUGAGCAGGACACACUCUUAACGACGCGGGGAAAGACUCGUGCCACUGGAGAGAGUGCGAGCAUAGGAGGGGUUGGGGUCAGAGGGGGGCUUCCAGCACAAGUCCAUCACUGUCCCUCAACCGCGAGGGAACGCCUCUCGCCUUCGCACCUGGCCUAUCCUGCGAGGCUCCGACUCAACUGCGUUGCUGAUUGGACAGCUGAAUGACGGUGUCUCCGCCUUCUCAUUUGCAUUCCUCGCCUCCCCUGGUCCCCAUUGGCCAUCCGCCCUCCCUCCCCUUGCCCAGGCCCGCCCCCAGGCGCCAGGUGCCUGGCCCACGCGGGCGCGAGGUGCUCCUGCUGUAGGUGGCCCACUGGGUGCAGAGGGGCCCCCCUUCCCCUCGCGUCACCCGCAGCGCCCCCAGGCCUGCCCUAGCUGUCCUUCCCUGCUCUCCUCCCGCCGAGAGGCCUCAUCAGGAUGCGGGGAGUGAAAGCCGCGUUUCGCGGGGUAACCUUGAGCUGCUCGUACGCACGUUUGCAGCGCUCGGCACUGUAUUAUUAGCAGCAGAUUACUCGGUUCUACACCUCCCCGUUGCUCGCAGCUCAGAACCUUGGCUGAGAAUCGCUGGCAGAACGUGGGCAGCGGAAGGGGGGUGUGUUGGAGAGCCAGAGCGCGCUCCUCCCUCACGGCCAAGGGGCUUCCUGGGGACCAGCUGGUCCGGCCUGCCCAUCAGCCUGCCUCUGGCCAUUCUACGGCAUUGAAAGCCAAACCCAGAGGGCCCUGGUUUAGGGGCUCACAGGACUUUCUCCCCUUCCCGAGAGUUCUCCCCAGAAAGUGCGCUCCAACUCUGGCUCCAAGGCGGCCUUGGCCAGCUGCCAGGAGCCCUGGGACCUAGGUCACAGCCAGGGACGGUGACAGAGCAGCACAGCACCUUUGAGCUCUGCUGGUCCGAGGUCUUCAAAAGGACUAUCUCAUUAAAAUCUCUUUAGCAAGGUGGUGCCAUUGCUCCCUCCGGAAUGCAGGGUCACAGCCGAGGUGACCUGCUGUAGAGGGUUGCUUUGUGUUCCCCAAACAACUAUGUUCAAGUCCCAACCCCUCUAGCUGUGAAUAUGAUCUUGUGUGGAAAUAGGGUCUUGGCAGACGGUGAUCAAGUUGAGAUGGAGUCACGUGGGAUUAGGAAGGCACUAAUCUAAGAGAAAGGAGAGGAACUGGAAUCGCACUACACAGAAGGCAGUGUGGGGAGAGAGAGACUGGAGGUAGGUGGCCACCAGGCAGGGACAGCCAGGCUUCUUGGUCAGGAACAGCUGGGAGAGAGGGUGCGAGCAGACUCUCCCCCAGAGCCUCCCAAGGGAGCCCUCCCCGAGGGCUUGGGCCCUUGGAAAAAUGUCUGUUUCCAGGCACCCAUUUUAUGUGCUUUGUUAGGGGAAUAAUUCACCCCCCAAGGUCACAGGACUUUGGGUGUCACCUUGGGAUGACCCAGGUCUCCUGACCUAGUCCACGCUGUCCCCCUGACCCUGUGUUGGAGAACACGCAUGCGUCCCUGGAGUCUGGUUUAGUGGGGGCUUGCAGGUUCCCGGCCUUGCACGCUGUCUGCGAGGGGCCUCACAGCCCAGUCGUCCUCCGGGAGCGUUCUGUGAGCGAGCGUGGGCAGACGGGUGCCGUCUGGCCUGUUAAUCUGAGUCCCCAGGCCCUUUGUUGAUUCAGUCAAGAAGUGGAGAUUUAUCACACCUGUGCCUGACCCCAGGUAGAGAGGAGUUGCUGCUCCAAGGGGAGCACGGUGCAGCCUCGGGAGUGGGAGGGGCCAUAUCUGGCAGACGGUAACAGGCAAAGUUGUCCCUCUGCACAGAGGCUUGCCCCAUGUGUGACCCUGGGCGAGGCUUUUAGGAGCCAGAAAUAAGGGACACAGCGGCAAGGCUCUUAAAGAGAUACAGCCCCAGCCCGGAGCUGGGGGAGCAUGCACAAAACCAUCUUAUUAAAUCUGAUGACACACGCAAUGCUCACUACACGUUAAGCACUACUCUAAUUCCUGAAUUUUGUCACUCAUUGAAACCUUGAAAUGACCUCUUGCAUAGGCACUCUCGUUACUCAUGGGUCUCAGCUGGGGAAACUGAGGCGCAGAGAGGGUUAAGCCCAGGUGGGUGCAGGCCAGGUGACCAGAGUCUCUGCUUCCCACGGUGCCCUGCUGCAGAAGAGGGGGAGAUCUGCUCCGCCCCCUGGGAGGCUGGAGGGGAGGAUGGGAGGGGACGGGCGGCCUGUGUGGAGGUGGGCUCGUGGCUCAGAGGGUUGUGGUUGAAUUGCCCCCUCCCCGUUGACAAGGGAGAUCCUCGCCCUCUGUCCCUGGAUUGUGGCUGAGCUGAGGUCACAGGGAGGCAGGUCCGGCCCUCAUCCCGCCUGACUGCUGACCUUACAGAGGUGGAGUUUGGAUACAGGGGAGGGCAUCAGGUGAAGGCCAGGGCUGGGUGAUGCAUCCACAGGUCCAGGGAGACGGAAGAUUGCCAGAAAUCCUCCAGGAGCCAGGAGAGAGGUGGGGGCAGACCCCUCCUCGAAGCCCCUGGGAGGAUCCCGCCCUGCCCGUGUCUGGAUCUCGGACUUCUGUCCUCCAGAACCGUGAGAGUAACCUCCUGGUGUUGAGGGGCCCCGUUUGUGGUGAUUUGUUGUGAAAACCCUGGGAGAGAAUACAGAACAAAACGUGUGAGCAGUUUGGAAGAGGAGAGGGUAGGAUUUCUGGUGGGGCAUCUCAAGGACAUGGAGAGUUAAGGUUCCUGCCUGAGAUCUGAGAUCUCAGCUACUCAGUCACAGGAAGGGGCAGUUAUGCAGUGGGGGCAUUUGCAGUUGGAAGUCCAGGGCCUUGGGGCCAGACUUGGCCGAAUCCUAGCUCUGCUGUGUGACUUUUGGAUGGGUACUUAACUUCUCUGAAUGUCAGAGCCUCCCAUGUUUUCAAAAAGCAUGAAAUGCUCAGGCUGAGCAGGAACAUGCAGAAAGCAGAGCGUUAUGUCUUACAGGCAGGGACGCAAGGUUGGCGCUCACUAUGGAGACGGCAAGGUGAUCGCUGCCUUUGGGGACCCUUCCUUGCACAGGCAGGACUGGCUGAGGCAAUUAGAAGCAGGGGUCUGAGGACCAGGCUGACAGCAGUGCCCCCUCCCCCGUGACUCGCGAGACCGCGGAGCCACUCUGAAUCCUGUGCUCGGGAAGUUCUUCCAGAUUUCUGACAAAGCGCCUGCAAGCAGAAGGGUCACAUCAGGACAGGGUGUCCGCCGUCGGGGAGCACUGAGUGCAGGGGAGAGUGUCCAGUCCGGAGGUGCUCCAGAGGGCUCGGGCAGUAAGAGGAGCUGCGGGAACCACUGAUCUUGGGACUGGGGCGUCGGCUCUCCCUGCCUGGACCCAUUUUCUACCUCAUCCCCAUGGUGGGGAGAAGGCUGCCAUCACUCCUGACAACACAUGAUCCCAUGUGACAGCCCCGACUGAAGGACCCAGAGGAGGACCAGCCCCGUUGCAAGCACUCGGUGUGAUUGGCCAGUAGCAGUAAGAGGUGUGACCCUUAAGAGGUGACCAGGACCUCUAAUCCAUUAAAGCUGUUCUCACGGAGGGUCCCUUAUCAUGGGAAUGGGAUCUGAUCAAAAGAAGAGUCCAGCCCCAUUUUUUCCUCUGUGGUCAUUGCUGCCUUCCACCAUGGGAUGAUGCAGCACAGAGGCUCUUGCCAGACACCAGUGUCACGCUCC